GCUGUUUCUGGAGGAGUUAGGGGAAGGAGGCUGCCUGGUAAGCCAGGAAAGGGGCUUCUGGCCGUUCUGUUGGAGCGCCUCUGACUGACUUCCCCCAUGUGUCCGUGUGGCCACACCGUGCUACUUUCAGAGGCAGUGGGCUUUUCGCUAAGGGAUAAAAAGAAGUAAAACCUUGCCUUUAGCGCAGCUCUCCUUCACUGGGCAGAUUGCUCUCCCUCCCCACUCUCCCAGGCCCAAAUUGGAUCUCAGCGCCUGGGAGCUCCAACUUUAGCAAGUGCGAAAUCCUGUCUUCGGUUUUGGAAUUUUCAUCCGCACAGACUAUAUCAGCCACGGAUAGGAUAUGUGAGAAUACCAGCAUGUCAAGGCUGGGAAUCAUCCUUAGGCAUCACCUAGCCAGUCCUGCCUCUCAUUUUAAGAGAAUAGACGCCUUGAUGGCUCCUCUGGCAGUUCUUGAUGACCAUGGAUGAGCUAAUGGCUGUGGUCUCAAUGGUGGCUUCUUGAGCUAAUUUCAAAUGGUCCAGUGCCUGAGACUUCACACUGAAGUAGAGCAUUUGUUCCUCUCACUAUGUCUGCAGGCUCAAGAGUUUUGAUGAAAGAAGGAGGUUCUACAAAAGCAUGAAAGCAUUGUGUGGACCUUCUUAUUGAUAGCGGACUGCACAGGCUCUAAUUCUUUAAUGAAAUGUGGCUUAUCAAUGAUGAUCAACUCUGCUUGGCAGAUGUCUGCUCCAAACUUGUUGGAAGCCUUACAAGAAUAAACUCCUCUAUCUUGAAUGGCUCUGCAGUACCUACCUACCAUGUUACUGUCUUGGUUGUUGGUCUCUCCAGUUGGUAAUACAAGCAUUUCCCACACAUGUACAGAAAGCAAAAAGGACAACAAUAUGAAAUGAAGUGACAACAUCUGUGCCAAUGUAUGGCAUUUACCUGUCACAGUUAGUGUGGCUGUACAGCUGACACUGCCAUACUCAUUGGAAGCUUUGCAUGUAUACUCGCCGCAGUCAACCACCUGGGUUCUCAGGAUUUCAAGGCUGGAGAUAUACUUUGAAGAUCGAAUAGAACACUUGUCACUCUCAUAAAUUUCUCGGCCAGCUUUAAACCACUGGAACCGGACAUUGGGAGCACUUUGGAUCUCACAGCAUAUAAGCAUUAGAAGACAGGACUCAAGUGUCUGCUGGCUGUAAAAAUACUGGAGAAACUCAUCUAUAGCAUGCAGAAUACAUAUUCAGUCAUUGUGUACAAUGCAGCUGUAUAGUCCUUGGUCUACCAGCUGAACAUUACAUAUGACUCAGGUUGGCUGUGCUUGAUACUUGGCCUACAGCAUUACUAGCAACAAACGUCUUCUUCCUUUGGUGAACUGAAUGAGGCACCAGGAUACACAUGAACUGCCACUGGACAUGAACUGCACACAAUAAAAACCCGGCAUUGAAAACGGGCUGGCUGCCCUUCAGAAGUGACAGUGUCCUGAAGCGGGGUGAUGAUGGCAGGUGGAUAAACAGGCAUUUCCUGAUCAGGAGACACAACUUCUGGAACUAAAGAAAGAAACCACAAGAUUUGUCAUGAUUAAGUCACCAUAGAGACCUCACAGAAGGGAGCAUGACAUCAAUUCCAGAGUGGGACAGCUCAACCUCAAACACCACAUUUUGAGUUUCUGUACAGGUUGUCUUUUUCCCGUCGAUGACAAAGCUGUAUUCUCCCUGGUCCUCCUUGGUUACAUCCUUGACCGUGAGGUUCUGACGUCCACGACGAGAUGUAAUUGUAUAUUUGCCAUUGGAUUUAAGCUCCACAUCAUUAUGAUACCAUUUUCCUUCUAUAUUUUCUGGGGAUACAAUGCACUCUAAUUCUCCUGAAUAUGAUUCUGGAACUUCUAUGUCCUGAAGUUCUUUCACAAACUCAACAACUGCACCUGAAGUGUAUAACAGAAAGAUAAAUCAAUUUUUUUGGAGAGGUAUGCAUCUAGACUUAGGAUAGAGAUGAUGUCUUGUAUGUCUUUUAUCUCCCCCAUACUAUCAGGUGUAUUCUUAAUAUCUACCCGCUGAUGGGCUGAGAGAUAAAUUUUCAAUAAGAAGCAGUUAUUUUAUUUUAAUUUUUAAAUAUUUUUGAAAGUAAAGAAUUAUGCUUCAAUAAAAAACUUAAAAGCUAAAAAUCAAGAUAAUACUACUUUAAAAAAUCCAAAUGGUCAAAUUGUUAACAUUCUUAAUUACGAACAUAAAUUUAUGAUUCUGGCUAUGAAACUUAUAGUCAAUUUCCAAAUAAUUGUUUCAUGAAAGAAAAAUUGCAUAGCUAAUUUUACCACAUGCUAAGGGUGACUUUAGAGCUUAGGUAAACAAUGAAAUCCUUCGUUGUUGAAUACCUUCAACAAUAAGUUUAGCAGUCGUUUUGACAUUUUCAUCUUCCACAAGUACACAGCUGUAAUCUUCAGCAUCAGACGUAUCAAUGGUCAGUAUGGAGAGGAAGUGAACCUUUCUGUCAGAGUGCAUCCUGUAUUUAUCUCCCUCAUGAACCUCCAUACCAUCUUUAUACCAUUUCACUUUGACAAAUGGUUCUGAAGUUUCACAUUCAAAGGUUGCCAUAGUGUCUUUUUCCUUAGCAACAACAUCUUGUAAUUCCUGUGUGAAAGUGAUCAAUUGCUUGGCUACAAGAAAAAGGUGGGGGAAAAAGGGGAGAGCACAUUAUAUUAAAUUAAAUUCUCAACCUGAGGAAUGGGGAAAGAAAAUAAAAGUAAACACACUCAUGGAUAUUCUUGAAUACAAAGACAGGUCCAUCAAAGGAAAGACAUGCAAAUUACCUUGGACAAGUAAGAAUGCGUGACUGGAGGUUUCUCCAGCUAUGUUGAUGGCUUUUACCAUGAUGCUGGCAGAGUCCUCAGCAGUCACAUCUCUUAUGACCAAUUCACAAACAUUGUCUUCGGGCCAGUACCAGUAGAUCCGGUCAGACCGUUCAAUUUUGACACCAUUUUUGUACCAUUCACAUUCGGGGUCUGGUUUCCCCACGACUCUGACCCGGAAGUGUGCAUCAGAUCCUUGGCCCACUGUUUGGCUCUGGAUUCUUUCGAAGAUUUUUGGAGCCUCCAUACUAGGACUUAGUUCAAUCUUGUCAGGUUUAAAAGUUGGAAUCGUGAUUUUGCCUUCUUCGGCAAGAGCUUUCUUUUCCUCUUCAGUUAACUCUUUGGUCCAGUGGAGAAGUUCAUCUUUUGUCUUCCUGAGGAGUUCCUCAUAGGAUUCAUCCUUCUUUCGAGACUUGAGCUCCACAGCGGUAAUGGCUUCAUAAUAGCCCUCUUCUGUUCUGCGCUUGAAUUUACUGCGCAGCUCUUCCGACUCUUCAGGCACUUUUUCAUGGGUAAUUCUUUCAGCCCUUUUCAACUUCACAACUUCUUUGGUUUCAGUGGUGUCAACAGGUCUAUCCACUUUUUGUACUUCAAACUGAAGCUUUCCUGGUUCAUGUACGUGAAACUCAGGCCUUGGUUCAGGAGCUCUCCUAAGGACAGACCUAAAAUCUUCCCUCUGUUGAAUCUCAAGCUUCACUUUAUGCUCUAUCACACCUUCAGGAUUUUCCGCGGUGACCUUCACUUCACCUGUGUCAUAUGAUUUGCAGUCCACGAUGUCCAGGUAAUGGAUACCAUCAUAGCGAACUCUGAACCUUUUGCUUUUGCGGAUGAGCUGUCCAUUGAGGUACCAGUUGACUUUGGGCUGAGGGUAGCCUGUUACCCUGCAGCGGAACCUUGCAGUCUCCCCUUCAAGUACUCUAACUGGCUCUGGGUACAAGACAAUGUCUGGCUUUUGCUUUUCUUUCUGAUCUGUUGUUACACCUGUAAGUGCACCUUCAUGAGCCAUUCUCUCUAAUUCUUCAAUUCUCUGUAAGCCUUUCCUCCCCUCAGGCAAUUGGGAUUCUUCCACAAGACUUUUCUCAUCUUUAACAAUAAGGGUAGCAGAUGUGUGAUCUGUUCCAUAUUUGUUAGUGGCUCUGCAAGUAAUGAUACCACUGUCUCUAGAAUAUGCAACGCCAUAAUCAAGGCUGCAGUACCCAAAUUCAUUGAUCAUACGGAGCCUGUUGGCUGCUUCAAGUGGCUUUCCAUCAUGGAGCCACUCCACCACCAUCGUUGGGUCACCAAUGGGUGUUAGCCUGCAUUCAAAGUGGGCAGGCCCAAAGCGCUUAAGUCUUAAGGAAGUGAGUUUUUUCUUGAAAAAUGGUUUCUGUUGUUUCUCUUUGUCAUAGAGAUCACCUUCUUCCCAUUGCUCUUGGCCAUAUCGCAAAUGGAGGGGCUCCAGUUCUGGGGCUGCAAUCUCCUUUGCUCUAUAUGUCCCCCGUGGGAUGAUUAACUUUCUCUCUGGCUCAGGCUCUGCAAACUCAACUUCAACAUUUACUUUGCAUCUUGUAGUGUCUCUGCCAGCUUUAUUAAUAGCAGUCGCAGUAUACCAGGCAGAAUCUUGGCUGACAGUGGAAUCGAUUUUAAGGGCAGCUUCUCCCUUGGUUCCUUCAAUUCUAUAAAAAGUUGGGGGAGGGAAUAAUCAAUAUAGUGGUAUAGCUUCCCUGGUUAUUGGAUUUGUAUAAUGAGCUUAGCUUUAUUAUUUCCAUACUUACCUGAUUUUGGGAUAUUUAUGAGGCACAAUGAUGUCACUGUUUUUCAACCAUACAAUGUCAGGGUUGGGGUUACCCGUAGCUCUGACUUUCAUUUCAAGUCGGGAACCUUCCUUUAUAUUGACAUUUUUCAGUUUUUCUACAAACAUCGGUUUUACCUGAUGUUCCACAGCUGAAAGAGAAAGGUCAUGAUUUAGAGGGAGUAAGGCUGAAAUACCUGUUUAUAACCCAAGUGAUAAGAAAAUUCAUUUAUUUUUAUUUUAUCUCAUUUUACCUUCCACAGUUAAAAUCACUGAAAUUGAAGAUCUGCCUGCCCUGUUUUGGGCAACCACAGUCCAUUCCCCAGAAUCACUGGGUGUGGCAGGGACAAUAAUUAGUGAUUGAGUACCAUCUUCUUUAAUGACUACUUUAUGGGUAUAGUCAUUGACAAUUUGCUGGCCUGUGAAAAUAUGUUUAAAAGAAAGUAGAUUUUAAAAUAGUUUUUAAAAAUUGUUAGAUGCAUACAUAAGCUUGUUUUUGUGUUUUUAUGAUUCAUGAGCAAAAACUUAUCACGCUUACCAUCAUGAAACCAGAACGUCUCUGGCAUAGGUCUACCAACAACCUUUAAGUCAAAUCUGGCAGUUUGCCCUUCUAAACAUUUGAAAGAAACAGGUUUUAACACAAAGACUGGUUUAUAUAGUCUCUCAAGUUGUGACUCAUCUGUCUCCUCCAGCCUACGUCCAGGGGACAUUCUUGCAGGGGACAUCCGUGCAGGAGACAUCCUUGCAGGUGACAUCCGUGCAGGAGACAUGCGUAUAGGAGACCUGCUCACUGAACGUGGAGAGAGAGAUCUGCAAAACAAAGACACACAAUACUUUCGUGAGGCAUAAAGAAAACUCAGCAAAACAAACUUCAUUUUGUCUUAUUCAUUAUUCAUGUUAUUUUAGAAUUUACUUCUUGCACGUAUUAGAAGGCACCUCAAACUCAUUCAGAUCUAAAAUAGAAUAUAUUAUUGUUGCCCCCACAACUAUGUUUUUCCUAUAUUCUCAAUUUUAGCUGGUAGUCAUUCAGUAUAUCCAGGUACCCAGGCUCAAAAAUCUUGGAAUAAUCCUCAAUACUCUCUUUUCCUUACCACUUGGAUUUAAUCAGUCACUAGACUUUUUUGAUUUAACUACUAAAACAUCCUAAUAAAUGUUGGUUGGAUAAGUAAACCAAUGAAUACAUUUAUGGAAAAAUAAAAAAUACACAUUCUUUAUCUCAGAGGAGGAAAACAUAGAAAUGAAUUUGGAAACAAAACAAAGCAAAACAAGACUCCAUCUACACAUUGCAGCCAGACUGACUUGGAGUUUGAAUGCUGGCACCACCGCUUACAGGCUGGAUGAAUUAAGACAAUUUUCAUAGAUUCCCAGGGCCUCAGUGUUCCUAUUUCCAAACCAAUAAUAGUCAUCUUUUUAUUGCAGGGCUGUUGUAUAAAUUUACAUAUGUAAAAAUCAGGUGUCAAAUAAGAGCUAUUGUGAUAUUAGCUAUAGCACUAGGAAAAUAAACAGUAUGUUACACUGAUGAAAAUUCUUUGCUCAUCUUACACAGGGGCAAGAAAUAAAAACUUCUGGCAAUUGUUGGUGUUGCCAAUGGUGCAACAUACCAUGAAGAUUAAGGAAACUUAGCAACAGUGAACUUGGACCUUCUAAUAGCUGUCUAACCCCGAGCUCAUCACUUGAAAAUGAAAAUAUCAAAUAAAAAAAGGAA
ensembl:lncRNA TTN-AS1 TTN antisense RNA 1